UAAACGAUGUCUACUAGCCGUUGGGACUCUUGAAGUCUUAGUGGCGCAGCUAACGCACUAAGUAGACCGCCUGGGGAGUACGGCCGCAAGGUUAAAACUCAAAUGAAUUGACGGGGGCCCGCACAAGCGGUGGAGCAUGUGGUUUAAUUCGACGCAACGCGAAGAACCUUACCUGGCCUUGACAUGCAGAGAACUUUCCAGAGAUGGAUUGGUGCCUUCGGGAACUCUGACACAGGUGCUGCAUGGCCGUCGUCAGCUCGUGUCGUGAGAUGUUGGGUUAAGUCCCGUAACGAGCGCAACCCCUAUCCCUAGUUGCUAGCAGUUCGGCUGAGAACUCUAGGGAGACUGCCGGUGACAAACCGGAGGAAGGUGGGGAUGACGUCAGGUCAUCAUGGCCCUUACGGCCAGGGCUACACACGUGCUACAAUGGUGCGCACAGAGGGCUGCAAACCCGCGAGGGGGAGCCAAUCUCACAAAACGCAUCGUAGUCCGGAUCGCAGUCUGCAACUCGACUGCGUGAAGUCGGAAUCGCUAGUAAUCGUGAAUCAGAAUGUCACGGUGAAUACGUUCCCGGGCCUUGUACACACCGCCCGUCACACCAUGGGAGUGGAUUGCACCAGAAGUGGUUAG
rnacentral:rRNA from 1 species